rnacentral:lncRNA from 1 species
CCUCCUUCAGACUCCCCAGUGGGUGUCACCUCCUGCCCGGUCCCACCCCUACGGCUGCGGUGACAAGUGCACACAUAAUGCAAGUUAAAGCAUGAGGACACGCCAAAGUUUACUGGGAAAUAUGGGAACGAAGAUAAACGUACAGGAAGACUUGGAGUGACUUAGACUGAACCUGGAUCCCAAAUCUGACACAUUCUAGUUAGUUAUAUGGCUUUAAUUUCCACCUCAAAUAUUGUUCUAGGAUUUCAUAAAUGUAUAUACAUAAAGGGCUUAGUAUAAUGCAUAGCACAUAGGAAGUGUUCAAUAAGUGGUAGCUGCUAUUUGCUUAUCAACAAUUUUGAUUUCUACAAAAUGAGCAACACAUCACUUCAUGUAGUGAAGUGAGUCAAAUUGUGAUAAGUGAUCUAUCUCAAAAUCCUUAAUUUAAUCCCAUCUACAAAUUACCACAAAUUAAAUAACUAAAAACAAAUUUAUUAUCCUGCAUUCUGGAAGUCAGAAGUCCAAAAUGGAUCUGCAGAGCUGUGUUCUCUUUGGAAACUCUAGGAGAUGAUGAUGUUUCCUUGGCUUUUCCAGCUUCUAGAGGCCACCUGCAUUCCUUGACUCAUGACCUCAUAUAACAGUCACUACACCCUUCACUCUGCUUCCACCCUUAUAUGACUUUCCAUCCUAACUCUACUGCCUCCUUCAUAUAAGAACUCUUGUGAUUGCACUAGACCCACCCAGAUAAUCCAGAUAAUCUAUCUCAAAAUCCUUAAUUUAAUCCCAUCUACAAAGUCUCUUUUGCCAUAUAGGACAACAUUCACAGGUUCCAGAGAUGAGAACAUGGGACAUUUAUUGGAGGCAGGGCAUUAAUAAAUUUAGCAAACACUUUUCAGAGCACUUUCACAUCUUUCAUUCCUUAGGACCUGCUAUAGAAUCUGGGGAGCUUAGUAUAAAAUGAAAAUGUAAGGCCCUUCUUCAAAAAAUGUGAAGAAUGUUGUGACAGGAAAAGCAGAGUGUUAAACAAAGUGCAGGGCCCUAGUGACUGCCCAAGUCACCUGCUCAUGAAGUCAGCUCUGUCAGUGAAAUGAAACUAGCAGUCUAUCAUUAAGGAGUUGUGGUUCCUUAAAUAGAGGUGGAUUUGGGGGAACCAUUAAAAAGAGUGAACAAUUUGUCACACUGGAGGAGGCCAAUGCUGGAUACUAUUACUUCAAGAGUUUUCCUCACAUGUUACUUGAUAUGUCUGUAGCUGAUGGGCUCUGAUGCAAAGGCUUAAAAAGUAUCUUGAAUAGAUGACUGAGAUGGUUAAGAAACUUUGUGAAUUAACAAAAUCACACUAAGCAUUUACAUUUCCAAGAUAUCAUCAAGUCUGUUGUAUUUCUUUGAUGACUUUCUAGCUUGGUUAACUUGUGGCUUCCAAUGAGGAGGGAAAUUAUUGAUGAAUGGUUCUAAAUAAAAGUCAAGGUGAUGGGGUGGAAAUUUAAUA